AUCUGCCUGCCUCUGCCUUCCAAGUGCUGGGAUUAAAGGCGUGCGCCACCACUGCCCAGCAACACAAGCCAUUCCUCGUUAGGUGAUGCUGCCCUCUUCCUUCAGUCACCCUAUAGUUCCGCCAAGUCACUUGCUGGUUUCUCACUGUUUGCUUGGAAUAUCCCUCCUUCCUGUAUUUCCCUGCAGGAUUGUUGUUCAGCUUCUCUUUAGAAUCCCAACCAUUCUACUUCCUUCAGUGAAAAUCCCCUUAGCCCUCUGUCAGACCAGGACCAUCUUACUGUAUGAUGCAUCUGUCUUCCCUGUUAGGGUAGGAUCUAGGUCUGGUAAUCCCUAUAGUAGGGGUAGGAGCUCAGGGCCUAAGUGCGCAGUUGUGCAAACAGGUCAGUUUCUUGGAAUUCUCAAAGUCAAGUGGCAAAGAAAGCUAAUGGAGGUGACAAAGGACAAAAUCCUAAAGCCAUGGUUUCAGACCGAGGCAAGUCGUGGUAACUGGAGAUGGUAACUCUAGGAACAGAGGUCAUGAUAGUGAGAUAGAACAUCUGCUUUUAGGAUUUUAUAGAAAACUUUCAUUUGUUUUAUGUGUACAAGUGUUUAUACACCAUGUGUGUGCCCGGUGCCCACGAAGACGGCAAAAGAGGAUGUUGGGUUCCCGGAACUAGAGUUACACACCAUUGUGAGCCAACCUAUGGGUGCUAUGACCCAGACUUGGUCCUCUACAAGAGCAGCAAAUGCUCUUAUCUGCUGAGCCAGCUCUUCAGCCUAGGAAUCUUUAAAUUUAAGGGCAGGGUAUUGCUUAGCUGCCCACGCUUGUCUCAAACUCUAGAUGCGCCUCUCCUCAUCUCCCGAGUAACAGGAUCACAGACAGCAACACACCUGGCUGAACUUUGGAUUGCAUUUAUUUUUAGGUGCUUUAAUUUUAAAUUACAUAUACUUAGUGUCUGUGUGUGUGCAUGUGCACGUGUGUGAAGUGUGUGCGAGUGUGAGCAUGUAGAAGUCAGAGGAUAGUUUGCAGGAUCUGGCUCUCUCCUCCCACAAUGUGGGUCCUGGGACUGAACUAAGGUCAUCAGACAAGCACCUUUCCCUGCUUGAACUGUCUUGCCAGCCCCUGAGUACAGGAUUGCUUGAGACAGGGUCUCACUAUGUAGCUCUGGCUGUCCUGGAACUCACAGAGAUCCUCUUGCCUCUGCUGGGAUGAAAAGUGUGCACCGCAAUGCCAGGAUAGAAUUCAGAUACUUUUGAGGUUUCAGAAUUGUGGGAUUUCCUGAGUAAACAAAGUAGGUAACUUUUAAAUAAGGUAGUGUAGUAGAUAACUUGACAGCAGUGGUGUUGAGCCUGUAAAAGGUCUUAUCUGGCCAUAUAAAAAUGACAUCUAGAGGCUGGAGAGCUGGCUUAGCAGGUGAGAGCACUGGCUGCUCUUCCAAAGGACUCAUGUUUGGUUCCCAGGACAGUGACUGGCAACUGUCCAGUUUUAGAGGAUCCUGUGCACACCCAUGGUACACAGGCAUCCAUGCAGGCAAAACACAUAAAUAUACAUAAAUAACAUCUUAAAAUUUUAGAAACAUUCAAAAAAGAAUAAAGCCAAAGGUAGCAGUCAUGUGAUAUCCCCAGUUGGUAGGAUGCCAAACUUACCCUUAACUCUGUAUUGUGCUUUUCUUGUGAGGCUGUUUUUACUCUUACAAAAUACCUGUUGUUGCUGGGCAGCGGUGGAGCAUGCCUUUAAUCCCAGCAUUCGGAGGCAGAGGCAGGAGGAUCUCUGUGAGUUUGAGGCCAGCCUGGUCUACAGAGCAAGUUCCAGUACAGGCUCCAAAGCUACACAGAGAAACCCUGUCUCAAAAAACCAAAAACUAAAACAAAAACAAAAAUGCCUGUUGUCAGGCAGCAAGGGGCAGAGUGAGCUGUGACUCAUGGCAUGUUUUAAAUGCUCUACUGUGUAUGUUCAUGAUCGUGUGUGCACCUGUGUGUGCAGGCAUGAGUGGGGGCUAGAGUUCUUCCUUAAUUGCUGUCUUCCUUAGUUUUGGGGACAAGGUUUCAGCUGGCAACUGAACGGUCCAGCUAGUCUGGCUGGCCUGCACACUCAGAGAUCCUCCUGUCCUCACACCCAUUGCUGGGGUUCUAGGUAUGACUGCUCCCCCUGGCUGUGAGUACUGGAGACAGAAUUCAGGUUCUCCCAUUUGCAGUGUCGUAGCUGAGGUUCCUGUUGCUGUGAAGAGACACUAUGACCAUGGACUCUUACAUUUAAUUGAGGUGGUGGUUUACAGUUCAGAGAUUUCAGCCCAUUAUCAUGGCAGGGAGCAUGGCGGCGUGCAGGCAGACAUGGUGCUGGCUGUAUCUUGAUCAGAAAGCAUCAGGAAGUAGCCUGUGACUCUGGGCAGGAUCCUGAGCAUAGGAAACCUCAAAAGCCCGUUCCCACAGAGACACACUUCCUCCAACAAGGCCAUACCCACCUCAACAAAGCCACAGCUCCUAAUAGUGCCCCUCCCUGUGAGCUUAUGGGGACCAGUUACGUUCAGACUACCGCAUACAACAACACUUCAUUAUCUCCCCAGACCCUCUUUUUUUCUUUAGUCUCAAAGACAGCAGCUUUCCUGGAAUGCCUCUUCCCAGGAAGGCUGGCUGCAUGGUAUUAACUCAAAUUCUGCUACUGGGUUCCCCUAAGUACCAAGAAAAUCAGAGAAAUCAAGCCUUAUCCAGCUGUGGGACACUGCAGGACAAGAGCGGUUCAGGAAGAGCAUGGUUCAGCACUACUACAGGAACGUGCACGCUGUCGUCUUUGUCUAUGACAUGACCAACAUGGCCAGCUUCCACAGCCUGCCAUCUUGGAUCGAGGAAUGCAAGCAGCACUUGCUGGCAAGUGAUAUACCCCGCAUCCUGGUUGGAAAUAAAUGUGACUUGAGAAGCGCCAUUCAGGUGCCCACAGACUUGGCACAGAAGUUUGCUGACACACACAGUAUGCCUUUGUUUGAGACCUCGGCUAAAAACCCCAAUGAUAAUGACCACGUAGAAGCUAUAUUUAUGACAUUGGCUCAUAAGCUGAAGAGCCACAAGCCAUUGAUGCUUAGCCAGCCACCUGAUAACAGAGUUAUCCUGAAACCUGAAACAAAGCCCGCGGUGCCCUGCUGGUGCUGAGUCACAGGUAUGCCCAUCACGGGUCUGACUGAGUCUGAAGUUGUGUAAUUACGUGUGUAAGAUUAACUCUUCAACACCAUGGAUCAUCCCGCUGGUACCGUUGUUGCGCUGCCUUUUGUAUUUUCAUCCUCUUACUGAGUUUGUCACUGUGACUGUUCAAGGCGAAGGCCAGUUUACAGCUGGGAUGGAAAAGGAAGCAAAGACGGGACGACCAGGUCUUCUUUCCGGUCCCAGGUCUCCCUUGAGCAUGAUGGGACCUCAAGGCUCAGUCUGGCGCCCACGCCGUGUUCCUGAACUGGGAAAGAAAUGCCGUGUAGAGCACACUUACUGCGUGGAGCUAACUGCAAAUAGCGAGUUACUGAGGUGCUUUUUAUUGUACGGUGGCAUAUAAGUACUAAAAAACUAAUCAGAAGAAUUCAGGCAGUUGUAAUGGGAAUUUAUUUUAGCCAUGACUUUUAAUUAGUCGCAAAGCUGGUUCCUGGUGCCCCUUGUCCUCCACUCGUGGUGAGUUGGGUGACUCAGGGCUGGAUUCAGUCAACAUCCAUCUGCCAGAGCUCUGAAGGCACGCCGCAAGUUCCCGAAUCUACAUGGAUUCCUGUCAUAGUAGCAUUGACUUAGUUUUUUUUUUUAAAUGUUUGCGUUUUAUGUCCACAAACUGUUCCUUUGGACAAAAGGAAUUAAUUUUUUUUCUUUGGUUUUUCGAGACAGGGUUUCUCUGUAGCUUUGGAGCCUGUUCUGUAGCUUCCUCUGUAGACCAAGCUGGCUGCAAACUCACUGAGAUCCACCUGUCCCUGCCUCCCAGGUGCUGGGAUUAAAGGUGUGCGCCUUCACCUCCUGGCUUGAAAAAUAUCUUAACUGUCCCUCAGUGGUGAAAGAAAUAGUUUAAUUAUUUUUUUUUUUUUGCCCUAAGCACUUUUAGUUUAAAUUUGAGACUUUGCACAAAGGACACAGCACAUUUCCAUAUGGAGCUCUUUGCAGAAUGUCGUGUGAGCGCGUUCAGCUAAGCGUGCAGCUCCUCAUUCUGACAGCUUGCAGUUCUGGGCCAUUUUAGAGGAAAUUAAGGCAAAAUAGAUUUUACUUAAAUGUUUUCAGAGUGUGGGGAACAAGGGUACUCCGACCUAGUUUCAGAGUUUUGUUUUAUUAUUCUGAAGGUCCCAGUUGGAAAAUUCAGUUACAAAAGCAAAAUUUUCUAUUUAGUAAGCUAAGUGAAAAUGAAACUUGUACGAAAUGGUUGUCCAGUUUUACAUACAGGGCCAUGUUGGCUUUAUUUGCAUCUAGAGAGAUUUUUCUUUUUCUCUUUUUAAGUACAGGGUCUCACUUUGUAGGCCUAACUGGCCUGGGACCAGGGUGGCCUCCGACUUACAGAUAUCCACCUGCCUCAUCCUCCAGCCAUUUGGGAUUAAAGGUUUGUGUCACUAGAACUAGCCUACUACAGUUUUCCUAAUCAUGCUAUGACUAAAGAUUUAGCUAAAUUAAUGCUGACUCGGGAACUGUUUUUCUAGUGAAACGUAAUGGCCGUAGUAGCUGGUGGCUGUAGCCAUUCUUACAGAAGGGCGUCUGUUCAUUGUUUUCAACACUGUACAGCUGGGAGAACAGAGAGGCCUUCUAGGCGGGUGCCUUCUUCCUACUGUUCUCGGGAUUGUUUCUUCAGCACUAUUAAUAAUUAUUUCUCUUUUUAAAGUAGCAGACUUUUUUUUGUAAGGAGUUAGUGAGCUUUCUUUACAGUUCUGUGAAAAGCAUUAUUUUUCCACUUUAGUAUUUAUUAAUUAAAACAUUUGUAUCUCAUUUGUAAUGACCUACUACUUUAAGUUUUUAGUUUCUUAUUUUAAAAAGAUACUUGUCAGGAGAGCAAGAUUAGGCCUUUGGAUGUAUGUAGCCCAGGGUGUUGGGAGGCACUUCACUGACUGUUGACCUGUGUCCAAAUGGUGGUGAGCUGACCUCUAGUUACUAAUUUUUUAAGCACAAAUCAGACAUUUUGUAUCUCUGUGAAUUUAUUUUAACUGACAUUUAAUUGGAAGUAUCAGAUGUUUUAGAAAAAUCUUUAUCUAAGAACACCAAAGCGAACUCCUUCCGGAUCUGUUGUGGUUGGCUGCGAACCGCGUGGCUGUCUGAGUUGCUCUUCGUGUGUCCUCAGCAGGCUCAGCAGUUUUGCUAUGAAGCAAGUGCCACUCUUCCCUUUCUCCCGUGAAGUACAAUAAAUUGUCUUUGCCAGAAGAAA